rnacentral:lncRNA from 1 species
CUUGAGACUCUUAACAAGGGACCCACAUAUGCGAUUUGCACCAGACCUUGCAAAUUAUGUAGCUGGAACUGCUAUUUUCACAAGAAGUACUGCUUUAAUAAACGUGAACCGAUGUGCACUCCUGUAUGUUUGAAACUAAGAAGCCUAAGGUGAAUUAAAGAAUCUGUGGUUCUUGUGGGUCCUGCAGGUUACAAACUUGUGAAAAAUCUUUGACUUUAUACAUCCCACUGCCCUACCCUGUUGGAAAAGACCAAUCCUGGAAUGCUGAAGCCCUGAUGGAAGAUGAAUAGAAACCGGACACUCCCACAGAGGGCUGGUUAGCUGGUGCACCAUCCCAUUUGCUCUUGGACUCUGCUCACUUCACCUCUCGGUGUGACUUUGCGAUGGCUGGAGCUGUGCCAGGCCUGCUACCCCUGGACACCUGAUGAUAUCAAGAGGACUAAGGGCCCCUGAAAUUUCAGAAAUGCUGAAUCCGUGGCAAAAGAGAUGUUAUUGGUGCCCUGAGUUCUUGUAAUCUCCAAGGAGAGAAAUCAAGAGGGAUCACCAGACAUAGCAGCCAAAAAGAAAGAGAAAAAUUUAUUUUAGCUUGUGUGCAAGGAAGUCAGCACUGCAAAAGGAAAAGCAACAAGGAACUCUCUAAUUCCUAUCUGACAGUUCACAGAGAUGUGAAUCGUGGAUGCUCCUUCAAUUGUCUGUGCUUAUGGAAGGUGCUAGGAAACUGAGCACCCAUGUCUAAUCUCCAGCUCCUAUUUUGGACACUAAAAGUGCUGCUCUACAAGGAAUAUGGAGAAUCCAUUCAACUUUUGCGUUGUAUUCCACUGAUACACACAAUGUUCUUUAAAUCUCGUGGUCAGAAAAAUGCUGUGUGCUUCACUAGUUGACAUUUCAUCUAUAUUUUCCAGUGACAUUUGUUUUAACACUUUACAUAGCAAUGGACCAAAAAAAAAAUACAUAUCUCUCUAGCCAAGACCAGUAUGAGCCACGUAAGACUCACAGGAAAGCAAUUAACUUAGUACUCUGAAAGUGACAUUUUAAAAAUUUUUUUUCAACAGUUAUUUAGAAGAAAGGCUAAGAGCAGUAUGUGGAAAGCUAAAAACAUAAAAAAAAAAAUUUACCUCAUCACUGU